rnacentral:rRNA from 1 species
UACGUAGGUCCCGAGCGUUGUCCGGAUUUAUUGGGCGUAAAGCGAGCGCAGGUGGUUUAUUAAGUCUGGUGUAAAAGGCAGUGGCUCAACCAUUGUAUGCAUUGGAAACUGGUAGACUUGAGUGCAGGAGAGGAGAGUGGAGUUCCAUGUGUAGCGGUGAAAUGCGUAGAUAUAUGGAGGAAUACCGGUGGCGAAAGCGGCUCUCUGGCCUGUAACUGACACUGAGGCUCGAAAGCGUGGGGAGCAAACAGG